GACGUAGGGGGCGAGCGUUGUCCGGAUUCAUUGGGCGUAAAGCGCGCGCAGGCGGCCCGGUAAGUCGGAUGUGAAAUCCCACGGCUCAACCGUGGAACUGCAUUCGAUACUGUCGGGCUAGAGGCAGGUAGGGGAGAUCGGAAUUCCUGGUGUAGCGGUGAAAUGCGCAGAUAUCAGGAGGAACACCGGUGGCGAAGGCGGAUCUCUGGGCCUGUCCUGACGCUCAGGCGCGAAAGCGUGGGGAGCGAUCCGG
rnacentral:rRNA from 1 species